rnacentral:rRNA from 1 species
CGUAGUGGCGCACGGGUGCGUAACGCGUGGGAAUCUGCCCUUAGGUACGGAAUAACUCAGAGAAAUUUGUGCUAAUACCGUAUGAUGUCGAAAGACCAAAGAUUUAUCGCCUAAGGAUGAGCCCGCGUAAGAUUAGCUUGUUGGUGAGGUAAAAGCUCACCAAGGCGACGAUCUUUAGCUGGUCUGAGAGGAUGAUCAGCCACACUGGGACUGAGACACGGCCCAG